rnacentral:rRNA from 1 species
UGCGGAGGGAUCAUUACCGAGUGUGGCGCUCCGGCGCCUCCCUCCAACCCCAUGUCGAAACGACUCUGUUGCCUCGGGGGCGACCCGGCCUUCGGGCGUCGGGGCCCCCGGCGGACACCUUCAUAACUCUUGCAUCUCUUGCGUCUGAGUGAUACAUAUAAUCAAUCAAAACUUUCAACAACGGAUCUCUUGGUUCUGGCAUCGAUGAAGAACGCAGCGAAAUGCGAUAAGUAAUGUGAAUUGCAGAAUUCAGUGAAUCAUCGAAUCUUUGAACGCACAUUGCGCCCCCUGGCAUUCCGGGGGGCAUGCCUGUUCGAGCGUCAUUACACCACUCAAGCCUGGCUUGGUAUUGAGCGCCGCGGCCUGCCCGCGCGCUCCAAUGUCUCCGGCUGAGCCGUCCGUCUCUAAGCGUUGUGAAUAGCGAUCGCUUGCGAGGCCCGGGCGGUUCGACGCCGUUAAACCCCCCAUUUUCUAUGGUUGACCUCGGAUCAGGUAGGGAUACCCGCUGAACUUAAGCAUAUCAAUAAGCGGAGGAA